GCAUAACGCGAAGAACCUUACCUACUCUUGUAUCCUCCUUUUGACUUUCAGAGAUGAUUGUCUUCGGUUCGGCCGGGGGAGUGACAGGUGCUGCAUGGCUGUCGUCAGCUCGUGUCGUGAGAUGUUGGGUUAAGUCCCGCAACGAGCGCAACCCUCAUCGUAUGUUGCCAUCAGGUAAUGCUGGGCACUCGUGCGAGACCGCCGGUGAUAAGCCGGAGGAAGGUGGGGACGACGUCAAGUCAUCAUGGCCCUUACGAGUAGGGCUACAAACGUGCUACAAUGGUGGUGACAGUGAGCAGCCACUCCGCAAGGAGGAGCUAAUCUCUAAAAGCCAUCUCAGUUCAGAUUGUCCUCUGCAACUCGAGGGCAUGAAGUUGGAAUCGCUAGUAAUCGUGGAUCAGCAUGCCACGGUGAAUACGUUCCCGGGUCUUGUACACACCGAGGUCGGU
rnacentral:rRNA from 1 species